rnacentral:tRNA from 1 species
GGCAAGAUGGCCGAGUUGGUUAUGGCGUGAGGUUAAGGUCACCUUAACAAAUACAAUUUCCUCAUGGAGAAAUCCGCGUGGGUUCAAGUCCCACUCUUGUCA